rnacentral:rRNA from 1 species
GGGGUCCAUUCCACGGAUUCCGUGACGCAGCUAACGCAUUAAGUUCCCCGCCUGGGGAGUACGGCCGCAAGGCUAAAACUCAAAGGAAUUGACGGGGACCCGCACAAGCGGCGGAGCAUGCGGAUUAAUUCGAUGCAACGCGAAGAACCUUACCAAGGCUUGACAUAUACGAGAACGGGCCAGAAAUGGUCAACUCUUUGGACACUCGUAAACAGGUGGUGCAUGGUUGUCGUCAGCUCGUGUCGUGAGAUGUUGGGUUAAGUCCCGCAACGAGCGCAACCCUCGUUCUAUGUUGCCAGCACGUAAUGGUGGGAACUCAUGGGAUACUGCCGGGGUCAACUCGGAGGAAGGUGGGGAUGACGUCAAAUCAUCAUGCCCCUUAUGUCUUGGGCUUCACGCAUGCUACAAUGGCCGGUACAAAGGGCUGCAAUACCGUGAGGUGGAGCGAAUCCCAAAAAGCCGGUCCCAGUUCGGAUUGAGGUCUGCAACUCGACCUCAUGAAGUCGGAGUCGCUAGUAAUCGCAGAUCAGCAACGCUGCGGUGAAUACGUUCCCGGGUCUUGUACACACCGCCCGUCAAGUCAUGAAAGUCGGUAACACCUGAAGCCGGUGGCCUAACCCUUGUGGAGGGAGCUGUCGAAGGUGGGAUCGGUAAUUAGGACUAAAU